GGAUGGGCAAUGCAGAGAUACCCACCAUCACCCAAAAGGAUCCUUCAGGGCCAUUAUUCUUAUGUGGCAGCCAUCGAUGCUCCCCACGACCUUUAGGAAGGUCGAAGACCCAGCGAGCUGCUGAAAACCAGAGGUGACUAAUGGUAGUUCAUUCCAUGGGAUGCCGGAUGACGUGGUCUGCUGUCCUGUGGACAACGUCCCUCACAGUGGACAGUGGCAUGUUAAAGGCCCUGGCUACCACACCGUAAGAUGUGCCACACGCCAGCCAGAAAGAAACAUCAGGACCGCUGUCUCCUGGUUGCCACAUAGCUGACUCUAAUUCACUCAAUCAACCACAGCAUACAUAAGCUCUGUACUGAGCUGAGCUCAAUGCAAAGUAUUGAUUGUGCCAUUCUGCCUUCCUUACCGAGUGUUACAUCUGGACCUGAUCUUCUGAGGACCAUCAAUGCAAUUAAUGCAAGAACAGAGUCAAACACUUUAUCCAGACAUAAAGACAAACAGCGACAGGAAACUAAUAAUUCAGUUAAAACAGUUAGUCUGCUUUUCAUAGACGGAUUAUCCAGAGGACAGUGUGUUAAUGCAGUGGUCCCCAACCUUUUUGUCACCAUGGACCGGUACAAAGCAAGACACGUUUACCGUAGAUCGGGGGUGGUAUUUUCUCUUUAGUAAUAAUAAUAACAAUAAUAAUAAUGAACGUAAAUCCACUGUUUAAUAAUAAUAAUAUUAUAAUAAUAAUAAUCGUAACGUCACACCAACAACAGCACAUCACAUGCACAGGCAUUGGUGUCGCGACUUUGACGUGCGUUAAGUGUGACGGAUGUAACAGAGAGAAUCCGGUCACUUUUCAAAAUGAAAUGGGGUUUUUUUUUGGGAAAAAAAACAAUAAAAUGGAAAUUAUUUUUUCUUUCUGUGGGUCCCGGUGCCAAAAUUUCCCGCGACCCGGUGCCAAGUGUCACGCAGCCCGGUACCGGUCCGCGAUCCGGUGGUUGGGGACCACUGUGUUAAUGGAUCCCUUUAACCUUAGCUCAGUUAGAAAUCCUGUUUAGCCCAGUUUGCAUGAAAUAAAUAUAAGAUUAAUAAUUUACGGUGGUCGACAGGGCUCACACUACAUACAAAAGAUAAAAUGCCGAUUAGAUUGAAACUGAAUUGGGGGUUUUUUCGCUGGUAGAAAAAAAAAAAGUCCUCAUUUCCGUUGUGCUGAGGUAAAUGCUAAUGCUGCGGUUAUGUUAUUGUGCUUCGGGUAAUUUCGUUGCGUUGUUUCUUUUAUAUGUAGUGUGAACCCUGUCGGCCAUCGUAAUAAGUGAGGUAAAAAAAAUAUAUAGAUGAUUUAGGUGUUUUUAAUGUUUCUCACCUUCAGAGUGUUUCUUUAGCUCCUUCACUUCCAUCUGCAGAUUGCUAAUGUUGGCCACCAUGUCUGGAAAAUUACAUUAUUUGGUGAAAUAAACCAUACAAAA